AUUUGUUGGAGUUGAUUUGCGCACACCAGUGUUUAGUCAUGGGCAAUUGUAUGUGGCCCUAUCUAGAUGCACAUCCUUUGAUCGUAUAAGUGUCCUCCUUCCCAAUGAUGAGCCAGAUUCUACUACAAACAUUGUUUAUCCUGAAAUUUUGUUAUAGUGUUACUUAUGGAUCAAACCACUUUUGUCAAAAGGAUUGGGUUAAAAAAUAUAUGGAGCUCAAAAAUAUAAAUACAACUAGAUUGCUUCGAUGGGGAUGUAACAAGAUUGUCGUGCAUGCUCCUCACUGGGGAUACAUACAAGUUGAUAUGAGGACUUUUUGGAAAGUGAUGAGGCGCUCCUAGGAUUUCUAAGAAAGAACAAGUUUGAAUCUCAUAUUUAUUUUUGUGAAAAGCAUACAUAUGCUAGCUACGAUCCAUAUUUUGUA